rnacentral:pre_miRNA from 1 species
AGCUGGUUGAAUUCGGGCCAAAUUGUUUUCCAUAUAAUAGCAUUUGGUCCCCUUCAACCAGCUGU